rnacentral:rRNA from 1 species
CCUACGGGUGGCAGCAGUGAGGAAUAUUGGUCAAUUGACGAGAGUCUGAACCAGCCAAGUAGCGUGAAGGAUGACUGCCCUAUGGGUUGUAAACUUCUUUUAUAUGGGAAUAAAAUUUUCCACGUGUGGGAUUUUGUAUGUACCAUAUGAAUAAGGAUCGGCUAACUCCGUGCCAGCAGCCGCGGUAAUACGGAGGAUCCGAGCGUUAUCCGGAUUUAUUGGGUUUAAAGGGUGCGUAGGUGGAUUGUUAAGUCAGUUGUGAAAGUUUGUGGCUCAACCGUAAAAUUGCAGUUGAAACUGGCAGUCUUGAGUACAGUAGAGGUGGGCGGAAUGCGUGGUGUAGCGGUGAAAUGCUUAGAUAUCACGAAGAACUCCGAUUGCGAAGGCAGCUUACUGGACUGCAACUGACACUGAGGCACGAAAGCGUGGGUAUCAAACAGGAUUAGAUACCCGGGUAGUC